CCACACCGAGCCCCGUGGCUCCCCCGCCCCACCUCGACCCCUGGUAACCGAGGUCACAAGAUCAGGAGCGCGUGUAGGGGACGCGGACCUCCUCCCCCACCAACUCCACGGGUGCCCUCCGAGGAAGGACGGUUGAGAGACCCUCCUGCCUCCCGAUGCUGCAGGUGUUUAAUCCACAUACAUGGAGCGGAUGUACACAGCAGGUGUUUAAUCCACAUACGUGGAGUGAAUGGGUGAGUCAUUCAUAUCCGGACCUUUUUCAGCCCCGUGUAACGUACACUGAUCAGUUACCUGGAGUAUGAUGCAUCUCUUUCACCUGGAAUAGCCAAUGAGGGGACGAGGUUGGGUUCAUUUGUAUUGUGUAGAGGUCAGCCUUGAUUUUCCUCUUGACUGCCGUGGACUGGCCAGCCAAGGGAUACACCCUGGGCAGCUGGGCCUCACCUCUGACUGACCUCAUCUACCCAGCAUCAACCCCAAAGAUGCUGGAGCUGUAUCCUGGUGGGUUACCUUGGCAACCUCACAAUGUCAUCUGUUAGAAUGUCCUAGGGCGGCAGCUUUUAAUUCUAUCACAGCGGUCUCAUCGGGGGUCAUGUAAUGGUGCUGUUUUUCCUCUGCUCACACUUCCUCCCCCUAUGAUUUAACACUAAGUACUCAAGGAGGGAGCCGAACACGGGGAAAACCAAGCUAUUACGGCCCGACAGGUCACAGAUGGCCCCAGCGCUGGGAUCGUGAGCGUUUGCAGUCGAUAAAAUGCAGGCCCCAAGUUAAUGGGGAAACUGGUUCUCCUCACACCCGCUGUGGAAAGGAGAGGAGUUAAGCGAGCCUAGGCAAGCGUGAGAAGCAAUCGUGGCUAGACUGUGCAAUUCCUGUAAAAGCUUGGUUCCCGGAGCCCCCCGCUGGAGCAAUUCUCUCCCUCAGCCUCAGCAGCAUCGCCUCACUCUGGAGAUGAUUAAGGCCUUGGGUACCGCCGCCCGAGCACUUGUGAUGCAUUGCAGCUCCGCUGAGCCUGGCUGAGAGGGAAAAUCCAAGCUAACCUUCAGUCCUGCCCACCUCCCCCCCCCCCCCCCCCCCCCGCCAGCCCGCACUGCACUCAUCCCCUCUCACCAACUUCACUUAAAAACGCUCGGUUCCCGUCCUUGUGUGGAGAGCAGCAGCAACUUCUGCAGAAAACAGACCCAUCAGAAGCUACAGAGCCUGAAGAGCUACUGACCUAAUUGUUUAUUUGCAGGACCACCAAAACCAGAUCUUCUCCAGGGCAGCUGAACAGCAACAUUUCAGGGCUGACAGGAGAGAUAAGCAAACUCAUAUAUGCCCUGGAGGUGCAGGGAUUAUUCAUCUUUAUCAUCACUGUUAGUAUUUUAAGUGGGUUUGCAGCCACAGUGAGAUCACAGUUUGGCCAGCCACUCCACACUGAAUGGCUGCAGAAAGUUGGCCCUGUGUCGGGCAAUACUGCUUCGUUUAAGGAGUUUCUCUAAGGCGCACCAGAUCCAGUGGUUUUCACAGGAGCCCCCUGCCCUGUGUUCACUGCGAUGGGCACACGCUUGCAGACACACCCUGAGCCAGUUCAUGGCGCCCCUGGUCCCAGUGGAGCAGGGCCCCUUUAGGCCGGCGUCCAGACGUGCCCUGCAGCCGCUCAGCCACGUGGGAGUGUGCACUGGGGCGGGGCAGGGAGCCUGUCAGGAUGUUUCGUAUGUUUGCAUUGAUGGCCAAGGCCUAGGACUUUUGUCCAAAGUGUAGUCAGACUAGUACUUUGCAAAUGCCACCCGCAGACACCACCAGUUUCAGGAAAUGUUUGAAUGAUUGCCAAGUGUUCCAUUCACCCCAGUAUUUUUUAUUUAAUGGUUAUUCUGCUCCUGAAUCCACUCUUCGUUUCAUCUCUGAAUUCCCAGUCUGUCAGACAGGCAGUUCAGGGAAGCAGGGCCCUCCUGUGGCUGAGACAGAACUCGCUCUCUGGAGCAAAGAGCGGUGUGAGACUCAGGAAUACAGUGUGAAGCGCACUGCUCCUGCUGGCCUUCACCAAGAGCCAUACCUCUGCACUGGGCAUUCCACUAGUGGGACACACCUAUUUACUUGCAUUUGGGAACAAACUUUAUUACCUGAGAUAGAAAUAUGUCAGUUCAGUUCAGUCACUGAGUCAUGUCCAACUCUUUGCGACCCCAUGGACUGCAGCACGCCAGGCUUCCCUGUCCAUCACCAGCUCCCUAGAGUUUGCUCAAACUCAGUCCAUCAAGUCGGUGAUGCCAUCCAACCAUUUCAUCCUCUGUUGUCUUCUCCUCCUAAAUAUAUAUAUAUAUGUAUAUAUAUGCAAAUAUGUAGGAAGUCUGUAUGUUCCACAGAUGUAAGAGAAUAAAGGAGAUUGUGGAAAUAGCUCAUUAAAUAAAUGAUGUAAU
ensembl:lncRNA